UAGUUAUCAUCAUAGUUAUGCCUAUUUCUUAGAAACAUACUUCUCGAAAAUACUCCUUUGAUUUGUAUUUUUGUCCAUUCCUUUCUUCUCAAUGCUUUUUAGGUUAAGGAUCAGGCCUUUUCUUUUCUGUUGACGUUCUCUUCUUUCCGAUUUACACAUGUCUCGGGUUAAGGAGUAUCUCCCAUUGUUGGACUUGCAGAUUUUAAGAAGGAUGAUCAAGAAAAGAAACCUAAAAGCAUAGUUGAUGUUAGCUAUGACAUAGGAGGUAGCUCAAGGUACCUAGCAAGAAUGUAUGGAGCUGAAUGUCACAGAGUCACCCUUAGCCCUAUGCAAGCUAAGAGGGUUUAGGACCUUGCUGCUGCUCAAGGGUUGGCCGAUAAGGACAUAAAAUCCGCAGACUCGUCUGGCAUUGUGACCCCAUUUUUGCUUGCGGUAAUAAAAACAGCAUCCUCACAUAGGUUUGGGCAGGAAAAUAUUCGGGUGAGGUGAUGGAGACUGGUGCACACUG
rnacentral:lncRNA from 1 species